rnacentral:rRNA from 1 species
GGGCCCUUGGGCGGCUGCCUAAUACAUGCAAGUCGAGCGAUCUGAGGGAGCUUGCUCCCAAAGAUUAGCGGCGGACGGGUGAGUAACACGUGGGCAACCUGCCUGUAAGACUGGGAUAACUCCGGGAAACCGGGGCUAAUACCGGAUAAUAUCUAUUUAUACAUAUAAUUAGAUUGAAAGAUGGUUCUGCUAUCACUUACAGAUGGGCCCGCGGCGCAUUAGCUAGUUGGUGAGGUAACGGCUCACCAAGGCGACGAUGCGUAGCCGACCUGAGAGGGUGAUCGGCCACACUGGGACUGAGACACGGCCCAGACUCCUACGGGAGGCAGCAGUAGGGAAUCUUCCGCAAUGGACGAAAGUCUGACGGAGCAACGCCGCGUGAGUGAUGAAGGUUUUCAGAUCGU